rnacentral:tRNA from 4 species
GCGGGUGUAGCUCAGCGGUAGAGCAUCACGUUGCCAACGUGAAUGUCGUGGGUUCGAUCCCCAUCACCCGCUCCA